ensembl:lncRNA
CACACACACACACACACACACACACACACACACACACACACACACACACACGAACACACGAACACACCCGUGAAAGGGCUGAAUGAUCUGGGCGAUUGAAGCUGGCUCCGCACCCCCGCACUUCCGGGAGACAGAGCGACGCGGGUUAAUAUGGUUGUGUUCGCCCCGGGUGCGGGAGCGGCAAGUGGGUUGAAGUUGAGCGGGUUUGAGAGUGGCCCUCCCACGCCGAGUGCGCAUGGAAGUUUAGUUUCGGAGAAGGAUCUGCGCCGCAGUGUGCUGUGCUGGAAACCAGAGAUUUGCUGUGCUCGGAAUGAAUUCACCAGGGUCCCCGGCACAACACUUCAUUUUCUGGGGACGUGCCGGGAGGGGUUCGCUUUACCUCGGAGGGACCCCCUUCUAGGUGUGAAAGAUGCCACCCCGGCUCCUUGGGGUAUGGAAAGCAACAUAUAAAGGUUCGAAACUCAGGAAACCCCAGCGCUCGCCUGCACUAGCACAUACACACAGCCCCGCGCACACUCAGUUCGCGCCCGCCCUUCCUCCCUCCCUGAUUUGCUUCUGGGAAAACAAGCCUUGAGAGCUGCGGACUCGCCCCGAGUCACGGUGCUUAAGCAGGAGUCCCUGGUAGAAAGACUGAAAAAUCCCCUCCCCGCUCGAUGGUGGAUUCAUAUCCUGUGCGGCCUCUAGGAAGCGCUAGACACAUCUCAAAGUCGUUCAUGGAGAUGUUAUUGGAUUGCGCUGGGGACCGCAGUUCCUUGAUAAUGAGUAAUUGUUUGCUCAAGCUUUAGCCAAGUGUAAAUAUAAAUAUAACCGGGAUGGUUUACCCGUCCAUUGCCAUCCAUGCACUACUGUACCGAGUGCUGUGGCUGACGUGAGAACUGAAUGCAUGGAGCUGCAAUGGUGGACUCCAGGCCUGCUUCGUCAUCGUCAGAUAUGUCAUUUAACAGCUGAGCCUCGCUUUCCUCACAUGAAAAAUGAUUGCGAUGAUUGAUAUUUACCUCAGAGAAUUUAAAUGGGACUGCCACCGUACCUAUGGGAAAGUCACUGCUGAACUGGUGACAUUUCUGUAUAUAUGUAUGUUAUUUAGUGUUUAUAUAUUUAUACGUGGAUUCCUGAAAUAGCAGUUCCGCAGAGUUGAGCAUUAGAAAACAGCUGGUCUUUUGCAAGGCCCAGUUUGAGGCAGACCAUACAAGCUGCUAGAAUACCCUGGCCACAGUGUUAAGACAAAACUGAAAGAAACACAAACUGAAAGAGAUUUGAAUGAGGAAAUACACCCACACUUACAUGCUAACAGCUAAUAGGGGACUUUACUUUGAAGCUAGCCAAGGUUGCUUGACAGAAGGCUGAGAAAAGAUGAGGCUGCUGAGUGAAGCCAGAGAGAUUAUGCUCAAAGUCAAGUAGAUACCAUACAAUAAGCUUUUCCAAGGUCUAUCAUCUUGGGAGGAAAAACAAACCAAACCAAAACCCUUAUAUUGCUGUCUUCCCACUGGUCAGCAGACUUUCAGUAACUCUGCCUUGCUGUAAGGUGCAUCACAGUGUUGUGCAUUAGAGCAGUGUGGGCCACACAGGCAACUGGCAUGUUUCAAACUUCCACAGAUUUCUUGGCUUCAUUAUCAGGAGAAGUAUGCGAUCCCAUAGGUAAUGUUCAGUAAGAGAUGUAUCUGUCCUGCCCCGUCUCAGACUGAUCACGUUCUGCCCUCUGUCUCCUUGGCUGUAGGGCUCCUCUUCACUGGCUGUGAACUCCUUAAGUAAGGUUCCUGAUGUUCAUGUUUGUUCUCUAAGGUUGAGCACAGGGUCGGUCCCUGGAACAGAGCCGUUGCAUUGCAGUUGAACUUCUAGUAGCCAAGGCAAACCUCUGGACCCUCUGUGGUAGCACCAGGAUCCACCAACAGGCAACACAAGCUGAGGCCCGGAGGCUUCUGUGGGACCAUGUAUGAUUCCACUUCAUCUCCUGCAACCCUGUUGCUCUCCAAUAUGGCAAGAGGAGCAUUGGGUCUUCCUCCUUUGUUAAGACAUUUAUACCAGUUGAGCAAGAAGUCGGUGCUAGAGCGGCAGCAGCCGGUUUGGAGCGCAGUCUCUUCCUCAUGGAACCCUGGCCGGAUCACUGGUCUUCACCACCACUACCUAGUGCUUCCAAUGCGCCCUGGCUGUCUCUCCACACUCUCAAGGUCUUCUUCACUCAUCUUCUUGGCUGUGUGGAUCUGAAAACACACAGCGUUUGUCCGUAAUCUCAUCCUCAUCCACACUGACUGUGGAUAACCGGAUGUGUUUUGUGAGGCCCCUCAGUCUCAACAUGGUUUUACAGACUCGGUCCUAAGCAGAUAAAACAACUAAGCUUCACAGAGGUGAGGUAACUUCCUCUGCCAUCCAGGUGGAUGGUCAGGGUCAGGAGCCUCGUGAGUGAGAACAACAGGUCUGUCGAGUUCUGCAGGGCUGAGCUGUUUAUCAUUGCGGAGGACACUCAUCACUGUGCUAAUUACAUUAAUUGCUGCCCACUCUGAGGCUAGCUCCUUCCUGCAAUGGCCCAAGACUGUAAUUACAGGUUGGAUUGGUUGGAAGUUGGUUGCUCUCUACCAUGUAGGGGAAAGGUCAAGACUAUGAACAUUGCUCUUCAUCAGACGCCUUACUGGAAGCAGAGAGGAAGGAUGAGGGUUCCUGUGGUAAUCUCAUGAUUCUCUAGAAGCAGGUGCUCUCCUACCCUCAUUCUGUUUGAGGGAGCCUGGUCAGCUGCUUGGAGUCCAAGAGCUAGCGGGAGAGGAGACAGUCUGAAAGCAGGAACCAUCAGAAGUCAUCCUUAGUGCCCAUAACAUAGUACCCCUCACCAGGACACUGCUCUGUCUGACACUGAAGUAUUGGCAGGGUCGGGCAAGGUGCCAACAAGUGGGUUUUGUCUAUCCCUAAAUGAUGACUGCUUGAGAUCUCACCUGCUCUGCCUUCCUUCCUGAGAUUCCAAGAGAAAUUGCUUGGAAGUGUAUUAAAUGCAAACUAAGUCAGAUGUAAGCCAUGGUGUUUUUCUGUUUGAUCUGUUAAGAGGUAAUUUGGAGACUACUUCUGCAUACUUGUUGAACAG